CUUGGUGAUUUUUGCACAGGGGGUCCACCUCUUCCCAUUCCGAACAGAGAAGUUAAGCCCUGUAGCGCCGAUGGUACUGCCAAUGGUGGGAGAGUAGGUCGUUGCCAAGA
rnacentral:rRNA from 1 species